GCGGAUGUAGCUCAGUUGGUAGAGUGCUUGCCUCAAAUGCACAAGGCCCUGGGUUCAAUCCCCAGCACCACA
rnacentral:tRNA from 1 species